AAAGCGUGCGUAGGCGGUGACUCAAGUCAGAGGUGAAAGCCUGGAGCUCAACUCCAGAACUGCCUUUGAAACUAGGUCGCUAGAACAUCGGAGAGGUGAGUGGAAUUCCGAGUGUAGAGGUGAAAUUCGUAGAUAUUGGGAAGAACACCAGUGGCGAAGGCGGCUCACUGGCUCGUUUCUGACGCUCAGGCGCGAUAGCGUGGGGAUCAAACAGGAUUAGAUACCCCUGU
rnacentral:rRNA from 1 species